AAAAGCUAUUGCGGUUUUGGCUGCCAAAAGAAAUGGCCAAAACCGCAGUAACUUUUGU
ensembl:miRNA